rnacentral:rRNA from 1 species
GAUGAACGCUGGCGGCGUGCCUAAUACAUGCAAGUCGAGCGAACAGACGAGGAGCUUGCUCCUCUGACGUUAGCGGCGGACGGGUGAGUAACACGUGGAUAACCUACCUAUAAGACUGGGAUAACUUCGGGAAACCGGAGCUAAUACCGGAUAAUAUAUUGAACCGCAUGGUUCAAUAGUGAAAGACGGUUUUGCUGUCACUUAUAGAUGGAUCCGCGCCGCAUUAGCUAGUUGGUAAGGUAACGGCUUACCAAGGCAACGAUGCGUAGCCGACCUGAGAGGGUGAUCGGCCACACUGGAACUGAGACACGGUCCAGACUCCUACGGGAGGCAGCAGUAGGGAAUCGUCCGCAAUGGUCGAAAGCCUGACGGAGCAACGCCGCGUGAGUGAUGAAGGUCUUCGGAUCGUAAAACUCUGUUAUUAGGGAAGAACAAAUGUGUAAGUAACUAUGCACGUCUUGACGGUACCUAAUCAGAAAGCCACGGCUAACUACGUG